rnacentral:rRNA from 1 species
GAUGAACGCUGGCGGCGUGCCUAAUACAUGCAAGUCGAGCGAACAGACGAGGAGCUUGCUCCUCUGACGUUAGCGGCGGACGGGUGAGUAACACGUGGAUAACCUACCUAUAAGACUGGGAUAACUUCGGGAAACCGGAGCUAAUACCGGAUAAUAUAUUGAACCGCAUGGUUCAAUAGUGAAAGACGGUUUUGCUGCCACUUAUAGAUGGAUCCGCGCCGCAUUAGCUAGUUGGUAAGGUAACGGCUUACUAAGGCAACGAUGCGUAGCCGACCUGAGAGGGUGAUCGGCCACACUGGAACUGAGACACGGUCCAGACUCCUACGGGAGGCAGCAGUAGGGAAUCUUCCGCAAUGGGCGAAAGCCUGACGGAGCAACGCCGCGUGAGUGAUGAAGGUCUUCGGAUCGUAAAACUCUGUUAUUAGGGAAGAACAAAUGUGUAAGUAACUAUGCACGUCUUGACGGUACCUAAUCAGAAAGCCACGGCUAACUACGUG